ensembl:rRNA 5S_rRNA 5S ribosomal RNA
UCAAACCAGCCAUAUCACCCUGCAGCCCGAGACCGGUUACUCACUGAAGAUAAGCAGGGUCGAGCCUGGUCAGUACCUGGAUGGGAGACCACAUAGAAAAUCUAGGUUGCUGUUAGAA